rfam:Pseudomonas balearica DSM 6083 genome assembly, contig: Ga0056079_102
GGGUGGUUAGCUCAGCCGGGAGAGCAUCUGCCUUACAAGCAGAGGGUCGGCGGUUCGAUCCCGUCACCACCCA